UAACACGUAUCCAACCUGCCGAUAACUCGGGGAUAGCCUUUCGAAAGAAAGAUUAAUACCCGAUGGCAUAAUAGAACCGCAUGGUUUGAUUAUUAAAGAAUUUCGGUUAUCGAUGGGGAUGCGUUCCAUUAGGCAGUUGGUGGGGUAACGGCCCACCAAACCUUCGAUGGAUAGGGGUUCUGAGAGGAAGGUCCCCCACAUUGGAACUGAGACACGGUCCAAACUCCUACGGGAGGCAGCAGUGAGGAAUAUUGGUCAAUGGACGAGAGUCUGAACCAGCCGAGUAGCGUGAAGGAUGACUGCCCUAUGGGUUGUAAACUUCUUUUAUAUGGGAAUAAAGUGAUCCACGUGUGGAUUUUUGUAUGUACCAUAUGAAUAAGGAUCGGCUAACUCCGUGCCAGCAGCCGCGGUAAUACGGAGGAUCCGAGCGUUAUCCGGAUUUAUUGGGUUUAAAGGGAGCGUAGGUGGACAGUUAAGUCAGUUGUGAAAGUUUGCGGCUCAACCGUAAAAUUGCAGUUGAUACUGGCUGUCUUGAGUACAGUAGAGGUGGGCGGAAUUCGUGGUGUAGCGGUGAAAUGCUUAGAUAUCACGAAGAACUCCGAUUGCGAAGGCAGCUCACUGGACUGCAACUGACACUGAUGCUCGAAAGUGUGGGUAUCAAACAGGAUUAGAUACCCUGGUAGUCCACACAGUAAACGAUGAAUACUCGCUGU
rnacentral:rRNA from 1 species